rnacentral:rRNA from 1 species
UACGUAGGGGGCGAGCGUUGUCCGGAUUUACUGGGCGUAAAGAGCGCGUAGGCGGAGAUCUAAGCGUGGCCUGAAAGCCCCCCGGCUCAACCGGGGAGUGCGGCUGCGAACUGGGUUUCUUGAGGACGAUAGAGGAGAGUGGAAUUCCUGGUGUAGCGGUGAAAUGCGUAGAUAUCAGGAGGAACACCCGAGGCGAAGGCGGCUCUCUGGGUCGUACCUGACGCUGAGGCGCGAAAGCGUGGGGAGCGAACGGG